GAUAAACGCUGGCGGCGUGCCUAAUACAUGCAAGUCGAGCGAACGGACGAGAAGCUUGCUUCUCUGAUGUUAGCGGCGGACGGGUGAGCAACACGUGGAUAACCUACCUAUAAGACUGGGAUAACUUCGGGAAACCGGAGCUAAUACCGGAUAAUAUUUUGAACCGCAUGGUUCAAAAGUGAAAGACGGUCUUGCUGUCACUUAUAGAUGGAUCCGCGCUGCAUUAGCUAGUUGGUAAGGUAACGGCUUACCAAGGCAACGAUGCAUAGCCGACCUGAGAGGGUGAUCGGCCACACUGGAACUGAGACACGGUCCAGACUCCUACGGGAGGCAGCAGUAGGGAAUCUUCCGCAAUGGGCGAAAGCCUGACGGAGCAACGCCGCGUGAGUGAUGAAGGUCUUCGGAUCGUAAAACUCUGUUAUUAGGGAAGAACAUAUGUGUAAGUAACUGUGCACAUCUUGACGGUACCUAAUCAGAAAGCCACGGCUAACUACGUGCCAGCAGCCGCGGUAAUACGUAGGUGGCAAGCGUUAUCCGGAAUUAUUGGGCGUAAAGCGCGCGUAGGCGGUUUUUUAAGUCUGAUGUGAAAGCCCACGGCUCAACCGUGGAGGGUCAUUGGAAACUGGAAAACUUGAGUGCAGAAGAGGAAAGUGGAAUUCCAUGUGUAGCGGUGAAAUGCGCAGAGAUAUGGAGGAACACCAGUGGCGAAGGCGACUUUCUGGUCUGUAACUGACGCUGAUGUGCGAAAGCGUGGGGAUCAAACAGGAUUAGAUACCCUGGUAGUCCACGCCGUAAACGAUGAGUGCUAAGUGUUAGGGGGUUUCCGCCCCUUAGUGCUGCAGCUAACGCAUUAAGCACUCCGCCUGGGGAGUACGACCGCAAGGUUGAAACUCAAAGGAAUUGACGGGGACCCGCACAAGCGGUGGAGCAUGUGGUUUAAUUCGAAGCAACGCGAAGAACCUUACCAAAUCUUGACAUCCUUUGACAACUCUAGAGAUAGAGCCUUCCCCUUCGGGGGACAAAGUGACAGGUGGUGCAUGGUUGUCGUCAGCUCGUGUCGUGAGAUGUUGGGUUAAGUCCCGCAACGAGCGCAACCCUUAAGCUUAGUUGCCAUCAUUAAGUUGGGCACUCUAAGUUGACUGCCGGUGACAAACCGGAGGAAGGUGGGGAUGACGUCAAAUCAUCGUGUCCCUUAUGAUUUGGGCUACACACGUGCUACAAUGGACAAUACAAAGGGCAGCGAAACCGCGAGGUCAAGCAAAUCCCAUAAAGUUGUUCUCAGUUCGGAUUGUAGUCUGCAACUCGACUACAUGAAGCUGGAAUCGCUAGUAAUCGUAGAUCAGCAUGCUACGGUGAAUACGUUCCCGGGUCU
rnacentral:rRNA from 1 species